rnacentral:rRNA from 1 species
CCUACGGGUGGCAGCAGUGAGGAAUAUUGCUCAAUGGGCGCAAGCCUGAAGCAGCGACGCCGCGUGGGUGAUGAAGGUUUUCGGAUCGUAAAGCCCUUUUCUCCCUGACGAGAACGGACGGUAGGGGAGGAAGAAGUGUCGGCUAACUACGUGCCAGCAGCCGCGGUAAAACGUAGGACGCAAGCGUUAUCCGGAAUUACUGGGCGUAAAGCGCGUGUAGGCGGGUGUCUAAGUCACUGUUGAAAGCUUCGGGCUAAACUCGGAGAGGUGCGGUGAGACUGGAUGUCUGGAGAGUGUCAGAGGGGUGCAGAAUUCCGGGUGUAGUGGUGAAAUGCGUAGAGAUCCGGAGGAAUACCAGAGGCGAAGGCGGCACCCUGGGACAUGUCUGACGCUGAGAAGCGAAAGCAUGGGGAGCGAACGGGAUUAGAUACCCCAGUAGU